CCUACGGGGGGCAGCAGUGAGGAAUAUUGGUCAAUGGGCGAGAGCCUGAACCAGCCAAGUCGCGUGAAGGAUGAAGGAUCUAUGGUUUGUAAACCUCUUUUAUAUGGGAAUAAAGUGAGGAACGUGUCCCUUUUUGUAUGUACCAUAUGAAUAAGCAUCGGCUAACUCCGUGCCAGCAGCCGCGGUAAUACGGAGGAUGCGAGCGUUAUCCGGAUUUAUUGGGUUUAAAGGGUGCGUAGGUGGUUAAUUAAGUCAGCGGUGAAAGUUUGUGGCUCAACCAUAAGAUUGCCGUUGAAACUGGUUGUCUUGAGUAUAUUUGAGGUAGGCGGAAUGCGUGGUGUAGCGGUGAAAUGCAUAGAUAUCGCGCAGAACUCCGAUUGCGAAGGCAGCUUACUGAACUAUAACUGACACUGAAGCACGAAAGCGUGGGGAUCAAACAGGAUUAGAUACCCGGGUAGUC
rnacentral:rRNA from 1 species